GCUAGUACUAAACGGGUGCCUUCAGCAUUUUCAUUGGAACGACCGGAUCCUGAUCCAUUGGAUUCUAAGAGCUCUUGCCUUGAAGACUUGCUAGAAUGGUUUGUGCAGAGAUGCUGUAGUUUUUGUUCCAAGUUUGUUUGAACCCAUCAUCUCAUGCCUUACAUAUGCUGCAACCUCUACUUCUCCACCAUUGUCCUGGAGAAUUUGAGGCAAUUAUUUCUACUAACUGCAUUCUGACUAGAUUCGAAGUCUUGAAGAAUCAUUUUACAGGGGAAAACAGGUGCAUCAAUCAGAUGUCACGAUAUUUUCUCACAGCUUUGAUUCCAGCACCGAACCACAGUCUCCUUAUCUUUUCUCAGCUUACAUAUUACAAUGAACAAGAGAAGGGCCAUGUCCUGUUAAGCUUAACUCUCAUUUUCAGUCAUCUGUAAUGUAAGUACACGGUUGUGAGUUUCAUUCAAACAUGUAAUCUUAUCACAGCUCUCAAAUCCCACGGGAGGAGUGGACCAUAGUUUGAAACAUGGUUAAAUUUAGAGUGCGGCUGCUGGCCAGCGUACUGUGAGUAUAUAAGAGGGAUGGUUUGGUUGUGCAAUGAAAUACAACCAACAUCGGUGUAAAUUA